rfam:Caenorhabditis brenneri strain PB2801 C_brenneri-6.0.1_Cont18.62, whole genome shotgun sequence.
CCAACGGCCCUCUUUAGGGCCACAAUCAUCCCAAUAAUCCAAACU